rnacentral:snRNA from 1 species
GUGUUCGCUUCGGCAGCACGUAUUCUAAAAAUGGAACAAUACAGAGAAGAUUAGCAUGGCCCCUGUGCAAGGAUGACACUCAAAUUCAUGAAGCAUUCCAUUAAAAA